CUUCCAUCUAGCCCCUCUGCCCUGAUCCAGUUACACAUAAGGGGUGGGGUGGAGGAAACAGGACAGGGAUCAGGAUAAUGUCAACACGGUAGCUGGAUCUGAUCUGCCUCCCUAACCCACCAAUGACGAGUCUGAUUUCCCUGCCAAUGGAAGGUUAUACUUGUGAUGGAAGGAGUGCAGACUGAUGCUUGUGAUGGACGGCUUGUUCUAUGAGGACAAUGACUUGCGAAUCAAGCUCGUGUAGCGACUCACCGCACUGGCAUUCGAACCGGUUCCCGACAUCGCGACGUCGUCGGAGGCCCCGAUCCAAGAUGGUGCGGGGCCCUCCUUCUUCCCCAGCGUUGGGCUGGGAAAGCCCACAAGCGGGAAGGUCAGGUGACCCAUGUGUGACGUCAGCGCGGGAACUGCAGCACAGGAAGUUUUCAGCUAUUAAAGGCGCACUGCGCCCCGGGUCUGCAUUCGACCUCUGAUUUUGAA